rnacentral:lncRNA from 1 species
AGAUAACUACUGAAAAGAUAAUCCUAAAGCUACUAAGCAUCUAGGUCGCCUCCACCUAUGACCUAAUCCGUGACAACAAUUGAGACAAUCACGAAGAGUUCUCCUUAAAACCCUUCCAAUCUCAAAGCCAUAUCAUCAUGUGUUACAAACAUACCUCUGAGUAUUAUAUAAAACAUCAUACCAUAAACCUCCAAACAUAAAAUAGAAAAGAAAGCAAAAAAAAAAAAAACCCUUAAUUCACUCGCCCAAUGAGCAACUUUUGCUUGCUUAGUGAAAAGGAAAACAACAAGCCUCUCAAGCUAAGCGAGCUGGCUCGCCUAACCUUUACAACUUUCUAUCAACCACCCCAAACACUCACAUAGCUAGCACCUUCACUUGUCCAGCGAGAGCCAAAACAACAAACUUCCCAGCUAAGUGAGUUGGCUCGCCCAACCCUUGGAACCCACUAUCAAAACCUCCCUAAACUCGCC